CCCAAAGACACAGAAACCCCAUGACCGCUGACUUAGUGUUAAUGCAAAGUGCAAGUCUAUCCCUCUCUUGACCCUAACAGGCUGCAGCACAUCCGUCAGUACGGUUCAGGAACACUCUUCACUCCGCUGGUAACCCAUAGUGGCUUAUCCACUACUUCUCCGUACGGCAGUCUACCCAUAAAGACGGACGCUGUCCCUGUACUGUCCCUUCCUAGACUUUCUGCACUUCAUCAGUAUAAGGGAGAGUUUGUAGCGGAAUACAGGGUGAUGUGAGAUCUUGAUCAUCGAUUGUCAGAUGAGUGAAGGUUGGUGUUGCUUGGUCUACAGUUUUCUGCAGGAAUUUCCUUAGGCAUGGGAGGACACAACAAAUGAGAAGAGCGAGAAUAAAAAGAAAAAUUAGUAAGGCAAUACCAAUCUGGUCUAAAGCUCUCUGCCAACCAGUCAUCCAACCAAACCAUUUUUCCCAGGGAUCAGUAACUCCAGAGUUUCUCUUUAACUCUUCUGAGAGUCUAUUUAAUUUAGCUAUGGCCAGAGUGACUUUACCAUUAGGACCUGUGUUUUCUGGAAUGUAAGUGCAACAAGUCAUAGUGUCGGGUAGUAUUUUACAUACACCCCCCUUUUCAGCUAGAAUCAUGUCUAAGGCCAUUCUGUUCUGAAAGGUCAUCUGGGAUGUGGCCUGCAACUGCUCGGCCAGGCCCUGGAGGGUAUCCCUGGUGUAGUUGACAAAACGCUGUUGGUUGUAAUAAAUGUAGUUAAUCCAAUUAAGGUUUUUUGUUGGCAGUGACUAUGGUAAAAAGUGAUUCAAAACCUACAGCUACUUCAUCUCUAGCUUUAAAUUCAUUAGGCACCCCCAUAGGUACCCCAAUGGCAUCUAUGUAAAUGUGGGGGUCAAAACUGCCUUUUACUGGGGUUUCGCGCCUCACUCUGGCUGGUGUAUGUGGAGGGUCGUAUGUGUCAUGAUGAUUAUCAG